rnacentral:rRNA from 1 species
CGCCAGCCUGACGGAGCCAGACCGCGUGGGGGAGGAAGGCCCUUGGGUUGUAAACCCCUUUUCUCAGGGAAGAAACCUGACGGUACCUGAGGAAAAAGCCUCGGCUAACUCCGUGCCAGCAGCCGCGGUAAUACGGAGGAGGCAAGCGUUAUCCGGAAUCAUUGGGCGUAAAGCGUUCGUAGGCGGCUGUUCAAGUCUGCUGUCAAAGACCGAGGCUCAACCUCGGGUUGGCAGUGGAAACUGGGGAGCUAGAGGGCGGCAGGGGCAGAAGGAAUUCCCGGUGUAGCGGUGAAAUGCGUAGAUAUCGGGAAGAACACCAGAGGCGAAAGCGUUCUGCUGGGCCGCACCUGACCCUGAGGGACGAAAGCCAGGGGAGCG